rnacentral:rRNA from 1 species
AACGAACGCUGGCGGCAGGCCUAACACAUGCAAGUCGAACGCCCUGGCAACAGGGAGUGGCAGACGGGUGAGUAACGCGUGGGAACGUGCCCUUCGGUUCGGAAUAACUCAGGGAAACUUGAGCUAACACCGGAUACGUGCGGGAGCAGAAAGAUUUAUCGCCGAAGGAUCGGCCCGCGUCCGAUUAGCUAGUUGGUGAGGUAAUGGCUCACCAAGGCGACGAUCGGUAGCUGGUCUGAGAGGAUGAUCAGCCACACUGGGACUGAGACACGGCCCAGACUCCUACGGGAGGCAGCAGUGGGGAAUAUUGGACAAUGGGCGCAAGCCUGAUCCAGCCAUGCCGCGUGAGUGAUGAAGGCCCUAGGGUUGUAAAGCUCUUUCGCCAGGGACGAUAAUGACGGUACCUGGAUAAGAAGCCCCGGCUAACUUCGUGCCAGCCGCCGCAGUAA